URCCUUUUGCAUCAUGCUUAGAUGAUUUUAUGAAUAAUUAUUCUUUAACCGAAAGUUCUGGAUUUCUUUUAUAGUUGCUUAGGGUCAAAUUCGGGUAGAAGUUACUAUAAACUAUAGGAGUGGUGUGAAAAAUUAAACGUCAGAAUUUAUAACUGUUUAACAACCAGUGAAUUUAAGUUAUUUGCAGGGCUAUAAGGUCCUGCAGAAUAGUAUAUUUACAUUUUCUUGAUACCAUAAUAGGGUUAAAAGUACCCAUUUAUUCUAACAUUGUUCAAAAGUUAGUGUUAAGGUGUGUAUAAUUACUUUAAUCGGUUGUUUACUUUAAUCGUUAGCGUAUAAGAAUAUCUAAAUAAGUAAUAAAAUAAAAAUAACUAUUUCUCAAGUAUUGCCCGUCUGUUUAUUAAAAACAUUUCCAUAUAAAAUUGUUUAUGGUAGCACCUGCUCUAUGCAUUAACUAGUAAAUGGCCGCAGUAUCUUGACUGUGCGAAGGUAGCAUAAUUAAUUGCCUUAUAAUUGAAGGCUUGUUUGAAUGGUUUGACGUGGUGAUUACAAAUAAUUAUUUUUUAAGUGAAAUUGGUUUGGGGUGCACAGAAUCCCCCUACCUUAAUUAGACGGAAAGACCCCAGGAUCUUUCGUUUUUAUCUGGGGCAGAUCAAAAUUUUUCAUUUUGAUUUUGACCCUUUUUAGUUUAGUGGGUUAAGUUACCCUGGGGAUAACAGUGUAAUAGUUUAUUAGAGGUCUUAUCGAAUAAACUGAUUGCUACCUCGAUGUUGACUUAGGUAAAUAGAUUAGGCGCAGCAGUCUAAUUUUUUGGUCUGUUCGACCAGAUAUACCUCCAUGAGUUGAGUUAAGACCGGCGCGAGCCAGGUCGGUUCUUAUCUAUU
rnacentral:rRNA from 1 species